rnacentral:lncRNA from 1 species
AUUAGAUGUGUCUCAAAAUUUGUAGCAGUUAAAUUUUCUAAUCUUAUUCUGUUGAUCAAUUCAUUAAGUUAAGAUUAAUAUACCUAAUUUAUUGAAUUUUAGUCACUAUUAUAAAUAUAAAUUUUCUUCUAUGAACAAGUGCGGGAGAUGAGAGAGAGUUUGCGAUGUACUACGACUCUAAGGUUUCAUGAGAGAGAUAUUUUUUGUACGCUAUUUUGUUAUAAUUAAUGAAGGAUUUCGCUUUAUGUUCGCAUGUAAGAAUAAGUCAAUAGCUGAACCAUAUAAAUAAUGAAAAUAUUUUUGCUCUUAAUGAAUUAGAUCUUUUUCGCAUUUAUCGU